rnacentral:rRNA from 1 species
GACGAACGCUGGCGGCGCGCCUAACACAUGCAAGUCGAACGAGAAAGAGGGAGCUUGCUCCCUUGAUCGAGUGGCGAACGGGUGAGUAACGCGUGAGGAACCUGCCUCAAAGAGGGGGACAACAGUUGGAAACGACUGCUAAUACCGCAUAAGCCCACGGCUCGGCAUCGAGCAGAGGGAAAAGGAGCGAUCCGCUUUGAGAUGGCCUCGCGUCCGAUUAGCUAGUUGGUGAGGUAACGGCCCACCAAGGCGACGAUCGGUAGCCGGACUGAGAGGUUGAACGGCCACAUUGGGACUGAGACACGGCCCAGACUCCUACGGGAGGCAGCAGUGGGGAAUAUUGCACAAUGGGGGAAACCCUGAUGCAGCGACGCCGCGUGGAGGAAGAAGGUCUUCGGAUUGUAAACUCCUGUUGUUGAGGAAGAUAAUGACGGUACUCAACAAAGGAAGUGACGGCUAACUACGUG